rnacentral:rRNA from 1 species
CCCUUAGAUGUUUUGGGCCGCACGCGCGCUACACUGAUGCAUUCAACGAGUUUCUUCCUGGUCCGAGAGGAAUGGGUAACCUUUUGAAAGUGCAUCGUGAUAGGGAUAGACUAUUGCAAUUAUUGGUCUUCAACGAGGAAUUCCUAGUAGACGUAGUUCAUCAGACUGCAUCGAUUACGUCCCUGCCCUUUGUACACACUGCCCGUCGCUCCUACCGAUUGAAUGCUCAGGUGAGCCAUUCGGACUUUCAUCAUGCUGGUUUCCAGUUUUGAUGAAGGAAAGUCUUGCGAACCUUAUCAUUUAGAGGAAGGAGAAGUCGUAACA